rnacentral:misc_RNA from 1 species
UUUCCGUAGGUGAACCCGCGGAAGGAUCAUUAUUGAAUAAACCUGAUGUGGUUGUAGCUGGCCCUUUCGGGAGCAUGUGCACACCCGUCGUCUUUAUCUUUCCACCUGUGCACCUUUUGUAGACCUGGAUGUAACACUUUCCGAGGCAACUCGGUCGGGAGGAAUGCUGUCAGCUUUCCUUGAAUGUCCAGGCCUAUGUUUUCAUAUACCCCAAAGAAUGUAACAGAAUGUAUUAUUGGGCCUUGUGCCUAUAAACUAUAUACAACUUUCAGCAACGGAUCUCUUGGCUCUC